rnacentral:rRNA from 1 species
AGUGAACGCUGGCGGCAGGCCUAACACAUGCAAGUCGAGCGGCAGCGCGGGGGCAACCCUGGCGGCGCGCGGCGGACGGGUGAGGAAUUCGUCGGAAUCUGCCUUUUUGUGGGGGAUAACGUAGGGAAACUUACGCUAAUACCGCAUACGUCCUACGGGAGAAAGUGGGGGACCGCAAGGCCUCACGCAGAAAGAUGAGCCGACGACCGAUUAGCUAGUUGGCGGGGUAAAGGCCCACCAAGGCGACGAUCGGUAGCUGGUCUGCGAGGAUGAUCAGCCACACGGGGACGGAGACACGGCCCAGACUCCUACGGGAGGCAGCAGUGGGGAAUAUUGGACAAUGGGCGCAAGCCUGAUCCAGCCAUGCCGCGUGUGUGAAGAAGGCCUUCGGGUUGUAAAGCACUUUUGUCCGGAAAGAAAUCCCCGGAGCUAAUACCUUCGGGGGAUGACGGUACCGGAAGAAUAAGCACCGGCUAACUUCGUG